rnacentral:lncRNA from 1 species
UAUAAUGAUCUGUGCGGAUGAGAAACUGCUGCCCCCACAAAUAAGGUCGCCAAUGCUGAACAGCUUUAGCCAAUCCUAUUAGUUCCCUCUCAUAAGCAGGCAAUUUAAAAUGCCGAUCAGCCAAUUUUUGACUAAAAAAUGCAAUAGGAUGACCCCUCUGUUGUAGAACAGCCCCAAUUCCCACACCUGAAGCAUCACAUUCCACCACGAACUCCUCAUCAAAAUUAGGCAAUUGCAAAACCGGGGGAGCCACUAGAGCCUGUUUUAGAGCAGUAAAGGAGGCUAGGGCUGCCUCUGUCCAAUUAAAUGAAUUCCGUUUGAGCAUGCUUGUGAGGGGAGCUGCAAUUUGUCCAUAGUCACGAAUAAACUUCUGGUAAUAGCCUGUUAGUCCUAAAAAAACCCUCAAGGUAGUGAUAGAUUGAGGCAGGGGGCAGUUGUCAACUGCCUUAAUUUUGCUUGUGUCUGCAGAUGCACCUGUCGCUGAAACUACAUGACCAAGAUAGGCCACUUGAUUUUCUCCAAAAAAACACUUGGACCUUUUUAAACGGAAGUGGUGAGCCCGUAGUAACUCAAAAACAGUUCUAAUAUGACUCAAAUGCUCUUCCCAAGACUUGCUAUAGAUUAAGAUAUCAUCAAAAAAUACUAGGACAAACAAACGCAGACACUUACGAAAUACCUCGUUCAUCAAUGCUUGAAAAGUGGAUGGAGCAUUUGUUAAACCAAAUGGCAUGACUAGGAACUCAAAGUGCCCAUGGUGAGUCCGAAAAGCAGUCUUCUCUAUAUCACUGGGAUGCAUGUGGACUUGGUGAUAACCUGAUUUAAGAUCCAGCUUGGUAAAGAACCGAGUUCCAUGUAGUUCAUCCAACAAUUCAUCAACUACUGGAAUAGGAAACUUAUCCUUAAUUGUUAUGGUAUUAAGUUCUCUCUAAUCCACACAAAAACGCCAUGUUCCAUCUUGCUUGCGAACUAAUAGCACCGGUGAGGAAAAAGGUGAUUGGCUUGGCCGAAUAAUGCCUUGCUGCAACAUCUGGUCACAUUGCCUUUCUAUCUCGUCUUUUUGUGAAUGAGGAUACCGGUAAGGUCUGACCACUACGGUCCCUGUUCCGGGUUGGAGGCAAAUUCUGUGAUCACAAGUGCGAAGAGGUGGCAGCCCUACUGGAUCAUGAAACAAAUCAUUGAAUUCUGACAAUAAAUCAUCCAGCUGGUUUUGUUGUUCAGAUGGUGCUUGAAUAAGAUGUAGUUGUGGCUCAUCUGGUUGCCUUUGCCCUUGUAAGGUGACUGAAUUUCCAGCUAGUUUAAAAGUCAUCGUAAGAGAGACAAAAUCCCAUAGUAUAGGUCCUAAUGUUUGUAGCCACUUAAUUCCUAAAACAAAAUCAAAACCACCCAGAGGAAUUAUAUAAAAAUCAGCCACAAAAAAAUUGUCAGCAACAGAAAACCGAACUCGUUGACAAAUUCCGGUGCUAGGAACCUUCUCUCCAUUUGCCACCGAGACAUACAAAUUUGACUUGGGUAGGAUUUGCAGCCCUAGAUGUUGAGCUGCUAUAUCACUUAUGAAAUUAUGGGUACUUCCAGAAUCGACCAAACUCAGUAAUGUUUGACCCUUCAUUAUAGCUUGUAGUUGCAUGGUUUUAGCAUUUUGUUUCUCUGUUAUGGCGUGCAGGGAUAUUUCUGGCUCGUCAGCCGCUUCUUGUGUCAUGGUUUCUUCAUCGCUAAUUUCUAACCAAAAUAAUUUUUUACAUUGAUGUCCAGGUUCAUAUUGUUCAUCACAAUUAUAGCACAAACCCUUUGCCCGUCUUUCUGCCAUCUCGACUCGUGACAACCUCUUAAUAAAAUGGCGAAUUCACACUGUUGGUACUGGAAUUUGCUGCUGUAAAAUUUCCUUGGCCAGAGUUAAUCUUCGAGUUUGCAAUUGAUCCAAUAUUGUUGGUCUUUGAACUCAUACCAAUAGAUGUUCCAUAACUUCGACGGAGGCUGGUAGUAAGUUGUUGCUUUUUCUCAUGGGCACGUGCCGGAUUCAUCGCUUGGGCCAAAUUUGGAGGACUUAACAUCUCUACAUCUAUUCGAAUUGAAUCUCUUAAUCCUGCUGUAAAUAGGUCAACCUGUUGAUCUGCCCGCACCGUACAAGCACGUGCUAGCAGCCCCUGGAAUUGGCGGUGAUAUUCUUCCACGGUCCCUGUUUGUUUAAGAUUCACCAACUCCCCCAAUGGGUUGCCGCGUAAAGGUGGACCAAAUCUGAGAGUACAAUAGUCUUUAAAUGUUUCCCACAUGAGUGUUGGUUCUUCCUGUUCCAAUUUGAAAUACCAGAGUUGAGCCUCGCCCAACAUGUGAAAAGCUGCCAGACCAACCUUAUCCAACUCCGCAGUGUGUUGAUGGGCAAAGAAUUUUUCGCAGCGGAUCGCUAGAACCAUCGAAAGUGGGGAAAUCAAGCUUGGUAUAUCGUGGCACAAUUCCGCCUCCCGUUCGUAAUUCUGGUCUCUCCUCUAUUCUGGUAUUUCGAUUGCCAAUAGCACUACUGCCUGCUAAGCCAUCAUCAAUUUCUUUGUUGCGGCUUCUGUUGGACCCGCUUAUUAGUUCCUCCAGUUGUUGCGAUACUUGUUGUAACCGAGCUUCCAUUCGCGAUUCAAUUGCAGCAAUUCUUAAUUCAUUCGCUUGCUGAAUUUCUUGUAAAAGAACUCUUAAUUCGCUGCUAUCGCCCACAGUGUUUGGCUCUGGUACCAAUUUGUUAUAUUCACGGGUUAAGGAUCGUGUCACUGGGCGAUUAACAGGAAAAUCCUCUUCCAGUAACAAGGUCUUUUUCUUAUUUUUAUUUCUUCCCUUUGAACGACCUAUGGUGACAGAUCUGUGGGCUCGUCAAAGGGAGCUCCAACCUUAAGACUCGUUGAGAAAGAGUCUCGCACCUCUAGAGUUUAAAAGAAAACUCUGCGUGUCUUUAUUUCUAGGGAUUACUCACUUUCGGGGCAUUUUUGUCUUUAGAUACUUUUAUCCCUUUAUUGCUAAUACACAUAUUCUUAGUUCAUAUUGUAUCUCGCAUAAAAUAAUAUAUAAAUUUUCGCAUAACUAUAAUGUGGAUAUUAGAUAAUACCUCCAACCAUAUGUGGCAUUAGUUAUAUGAGAUUACUCCCUCCAUCCCAAUUAAUGUGGCAUUCCUUCCUUCUUACUUUGUGCCAAAAUGAAUAUCAUACUUUCUUAUUUAAAAAGAAUUUAAAUUUAAACUUCCCAUUUUACCUAAUGAGAUGAUUUACGGCCACACAAAUGUCUAUAGUUUGUUUUAGAUCACAAGUUUCAAAAACCUUUUUUUCCUCCAUGCCCAGUCAAACAUCGCCACAUAAAUUCGGAUGAAGGGAGUAUUGUUUCUUAUACAGCCAACCAAAAGCAACAUUACUUAUACAUGCAAAAAUUUUCCAAAUCCCUCCAACACGGUAUAAUUCAUACGGGAUUUUAUGCUGGAAUUAUUUUUCCUAAUCCCUCCGACCAGCCAAACCCUUAGGUGAUGUUUGGUUGGAAGUAGUGACAAAAUUAUCUCCACAUAAAAUUUAACAUUGUUAAUACAAUGAGAGGUUUCACUCUUCCUUUCACAUAAAACUUAGCAUUGUUUUAUACGAUGUUGGUUUCACUUUUUCUUUUCCGCAUAACUAAUACCCGCAUAACUUAUGCGGGAAUCUAUGUCUUCUUUUAUGGGGGAUAAAAUGUGGAACAACUUCAACAUAGUUUAGCCUUCAGGCCAAGUAACAGUUCGGUUCUCCUUGCAUACAGUUGCAUUGCAGUCGUGCAUGCAUUGUUUUCAUAGAAGACUGGGCUCAGGCUUUUAGGGCGGUCGACGAUGUUUACCGGGUGUAAAUGACCCACUCCGUUACUUUUUGAGUAUAGAUACAGAGAUGUCAGAGAUAGACCCUGCAACAGGCUCCUGAAUCUUUACGCUCCUAAUCAGCGGCAAUGGUGAGCCUUCCAUCUUCUCUCCCUAGAGAUCAUUUCAGUUUUAUGCCAUGUUUCUUUUUCUUGGGUUGUGUCACUGUCUAGUUAACUCAGAGUCAUAGGUGAUGCAAGUACUUUGUGGGUUGUGGGAUUCAGUUGGUCGGAUAUUUUGCUUGACAAAAUAGUUCUGUUAUCUUGUUUGCCUAAGGUAUCUUUUAUCUCCUUCAUGUUUUAUGAUUAUCUGUUCAGCCAGUUGAGUGAUAUGACUUAAGGGUUCACUUAGUGGGUAGCGACUAGCGACUGGCCAAAUACCAGUCAUGGAUCAUCCAAAUUUGGGUCAUGACAUGAUGAUGCAAGGCUGUCAUAAGUGACAAACCACAUCUUGCAAUGAAGGAUUAUAGCAUCCUUCAAUUUUUAGCAGCACAGAAGCAUAUGGACCAAAAAUGAUAUCCAACUGACAGAACUAACCAUACAGGUCGAAAAAGCAUUGUUUAUAAUUUCACACCCUUAUAUUUGCACGCUGGCUAGUUAGGAAGAUUUGGAAACAUGUUGACAGAUGUGAACUAUUGGAUCACGUUUACAAUGUCCAGCAGUAGCUAGCUCACUUCCAAACUAUUGCUAGUUGUCCCUACAUGUUCACUAGUUAAGUUCUUAUGUAAUAGAUACUUGAUUCAUGAGUAUGUCGUACUGAGAGUUAUUCCUUUAAGAUUUCAAUUCCAUUAAUUAUUGAUGGUCCCAGCAGCAUCAGCAAACAGAUAAUCACCAUGAACCCUACGAAAAUCUUGAACAAUUUUUUCACUUAAAUAAGAAAUUCAGCACACUUUCCUUCCACAGCCAAAAUGGAGAAUCAAAAGAAAACAAUGUAGAACUGAAACAUUCAGGGGGGGGGGGGGGAUUUUCUAACCUCCAAAAAUAAUACAGAUAUACUCUCCCGAUCUUUUAUAUCCAAACCUUGGGAUACGUCUGACACAAGAGAGAUUGCAUUAGCUAUGACCGAGUCUACUAUGCUCAAUUGCUUAGUUCCUUCAUGUGCCAUUGAGAAUCUUAUCAAUUCCUGCAGAAGUAGAAUAUACUCAUUAUUUGGUAUUAGUCACAAUCUCAUGAAGAAUAGUGCCAAAAUAGCUUUCAUCUUAGAAAAGAGAUGUUUUCAGGGAAACUCAACUCCUAUAGGUUCUUUAAAAGCUAUGUGCAUUGCCAAUUUGUUUUGCUGGUGUAUAUUGUACUUUGGAUUUCAUUAGUUCUUUGGUUCUGGCUUAGUCAGUUAUGUGUAGGAGCCAGGAAUUUUUUUUGUAAGCUUAACUGCCAAUUCAUGUACUUCUUGCAUCUUCUUGAUGCUUUCUAUUGGAUCACUUACUUCAUCAAAAAAAAAAGUAGCUUUCAUCUUAGAAGCUCUUCAGGGCCUUUUCAAUUUUUUAUCUUUUCAAACAAAAGUAGUAAUUUCCUUUCCAAAAACUAAUACAGAGAUGUGUGCCACUAUUAUAUGGUGGUCUGAAUUCUUAAUCUGGAUGACCUGUGAAAGUUCUUAUAUUGGAAUCACCAAUAACGAAACAGAAUUCCAAGUGUUCAAUUGGCAUUUAACCUUCUCAAACUCAAGAGUGUGAACCAAUUGCUCACAUAUUGUACUACCCUCAAUAGAAAACUGAAUGCUAUUUUCUUUUUCUUUUCUUUUUUUAAAUAACGGUAGUGUCCAGGAAAGCCUGUGUGCACCUCGACCAUUUCACCAAGUAACUCUUGCCACUAAGGCUUAGGUGAAUGGGGAGAAAAAAUCACCUAGCAUUUUUUGUCUCCAAUUGAGAUUUGAACACUGGUCUCCUCCAAGGUUUUCACCAGCUUCAUACCACUAGGCACCUAAGCAGCCACACCCUUGGGUGCCAAACUAAAUGCUAUUUUUUUAUAUGAGCUGUUACAAUAUCUAUUUCUUGCUUGGUAUAGCCAAUAGAUUGCUUAUUUCCAUGGAAAGAAAAAGUUCCAACUAAUAGUACAAUAUAAGGUUUGCAUAACACUCUUACAAUUCAUAAUAGCAAUAUAUCGAUCUUCUACCUAUCAAAGAUACAAAAGAGGAACCUGUGGAUCUCACUUCUUCCUGAGUUUCUCAUUAAAUAACAACUUCCUAAAAUUCUUAACUUUACAACACGCCAAUUCCAGAAGGACAUUCAGUUUGGAGGAGGGAGUACUAAACUUGACAUUACCUGCUAGUUGCAGGAAAGGCAUCCUAACAGAGAUAAGGAAAACAUACCUCAUAAAGAAGUUUGCAACCAGGGAUACGCUUUAUUCCAUCAAUUAUUACAUCUCUCGCAGCCUCCACACUAGCAGUGAUCUGGCACCAAUGGAAGGUAGUAUCAGAUUAUGUCCAAGAACAUGGGUAAGACCCAUAGAAAGGGCUAUUAUGAUUAAGUUGUGUUAAACUGCACUGUGAAACGGUUUACAAAGACGAGACCUUGUGCCAAACAACAUGCCUCAUUCAUCCUUUGCUGAGCUAGAUAUUAAGUGACAAUAUUUUCUCAUGAUUAUUUAAACAACAAUCUGCUGGCACAAUCUGCUAUCUCCCAAUAAAUGUAAUAAAUUUCUACAUUUAAUUAUGUACAUAGACAAGUAAAUCUUUUAAGCAUGAUGCCAAUCUAACAAUAUGAGAUUCCAAGCUAAUUUAAAGGGAACUUUACAGCUCUUAGUGCUGAAUUAGGACCCCCCCGAUGCUCGUCUUUUCUGCAGAAAAUUUGUAUCUUCUUAUAGCUUAAGCUUUUAGAUAAAAUGGUCGCUUACUUCAACAAAAACCACACCAACCAUCUCCAUAUGUGGUGUCGUAUCAAUCCUACAACCAAAAGAGUAGACCCAUCCAACAAAUCAAGAACAAGAAAGACUUUGUUUCACACCCUAAUGUCCUUCUUAUGUAACUCCAACUUAUUUGCAAGCCUGAAAGACGGGUUUCCCCACUUCAUAAUUAUUCCACCAUCCAGACACUAUUUCUUCAACGUAUGUGGUGUGUAACCAUAUAUUCUCAAAUCUUCCGGUUGAAAACAUAAUUAAAUAAAUAAAAGUGUGCUCUCCCUAACAACUUAAGCUUUUAGAUGAGAUGGUCACACACUUCAACAUGGUAUCAAAGCAGGCAGAGGUCCUAGGUUCGAGUCUCACCGCCAUCCAAUAUCAAAAAGAACUUCCACGUGUUUGGCUCAUCAAAAGAAUCAAGCUCGUACGUGAGGGGGCGUGUUAAAGAUAUAAUGAAGUAAAUAAAAGUAUGCUCUCUCUAACAGCUUGAGCUUUUAGAUGAGAUGGUCACACACUUCAACACUUCUCCUCCAUCAAGUACAACAGGUGAGUGGUUCGAUGUCAGCCUCAUAAGGAGAAUCUAAAUCACAUCCGGAGCCAUCUCCUCCCUGGUAAUGGACACAAUCUAUCAAGUUUUGAUCUAGAUGUUGAGUCCUUCGACCAGCCCAAGUGAAACUAGCACCUGUCAAACGGAGAGUCAAUAAAAGUUGAUUAUUGAUAAACUCCGAGAACUCUUCCAUCGUUACCACCUUUCCUUUGAUAAUGUUAAAGGUACUUCCUAACAUCCAAGGGAUAUUUCACUCCCUCAAAGCAACAACCAUCUCUUCCAAAAGGUCUCCUUGAACCCCUUCCUCCCCAAGACCAUACACUCCCCUGAAUCCCCACGGCGACCCAUUCUCGAUGUUUCUAAACCAUGUUGCUAACAUGAACUCACCUUUUUUUAUCUCCAUACUCGAUAAUUUCCUUUUCUCCCAUAGUAACAGUAUACCUCAAAAGUUCCCCCGAGCCAGUAUAUAGUCAUUUUCUCCCAUCUUCCCCGCACUCCUACAAUCCACUUUGAAACCGCCUCCAUUUUAGUUUCUUGAAAUUAAAGUAAAUCUACCCCCAUUCUUUUAUUCUUGCCUUGAUGAUGGCCCUUUUGUUCGGUUCAUUUGUCCCCCACAAAUAAUAUCAAUCUACCACUUUUUCUUUCCCCCCAUUUUUCACCUUCCCCACCGCCUUUACCCUUCCCAUUUCCCAUUUCUCCUACAGUAUGCCAUUAUGUUGCCUUUCCCUUUUUGUAUGACCACCAAAUAUCUCUCCCUCCUCGUCAUAUCUACACUCUCUACACCUACACUCCUCUUGACUCUUGUUCUCUCUCAAGUAAGAGUUCAAUAAAUCCUCAUUUCCAUAAAAUGAAAAUUCUAGGAACUUUCCAAAGUUAAGAUAUUUUUUUCUGGCCCAUUUUAAUAGCUUCUUCUCCCUUUCGAUGAUUGCAAAGGUUGAGGAAUAUUUAGAAUAGGAAAGCAGCAACUCAACCUAAAGGAUGGUAUGACGAAAUAUGAAGCCAUAAAGUCAAAAAUAGGGGUAAUAUAAUUGAAGCUCCUUAUAACUGAUAUUCCAUAUCAAGAAAGCAUCCAUAAUUCUCUCUCUCUGUCUCCCCACUCCCCCGUCCCUCCCAAUCAGUGAAGCAUCAAAGGUUAUCAUUUGUUACUAUUGAAACCAUAAACCAACAAUUGCUAAAUAAUUAAGUAUUUAAGCUGCAAAGUAGAUUGCGUACCAUGUGUUUGAGACGAUAAUAAGAAAUGUAUAGCAUAGGAAGGCAUUGCAAUUUCUGCUCCUCCACUGCCAUUUUAAUUGCUCUUUCGUAAAUAUCACAAGCAGCUGAGCAAUUCCCCUGGAAAAUUUCAGCAAGCAAUGCCUUAUAACAAAAUUCUUCUCCCUGAUUUAAGAAAACUUGUGUAACUUAGUAUGUACCAGACGUUUUUCCAUAUUUGCUCGAUUAGUAACAUUUUGAAUGAAAUAGGACUCCCAAUCUAUAAUAAUAGGAGGAAAGGAAGCGCGAGCACCAUCUGGAUCCCCAAUUUGCUCCAUAUAUCUGGCAGUAAAAAGAUGGAUUUCUGGAACAUUCUGCAAGAAGCACUUACAGAUAAGAGUCUCUGCUUAAAAUCAAACAUUAUAGUAUAUAGUGACCAGAGAAACUCAACUGUAUGAUUUAGUUUUGAAAUACUGUCCUUUUAUCUUAUCACUCUCUUGUAGAUACAAGCAUUUCUAGCAAGUAAUUUCAUUCACGAGUAAACCCUAGUAAAAUUUGGUGCAGAAUUUGUGCUAGCAACAAUUUACAAACUCAACCAUCAGAAACUUGGAAAGAAAAAUCCAACUAGAAUAGUUCAAACGAAGCUUACUUUCAACAAGUUGCACUGCAUUAGGAAAAUAAUGUGCUUCCUGGUGCCCUCACAUUGAGACACGAACUGUACUACUCAGCCUUCCAAAUUUUCAAACUUUUCACUAUUGAUUUUUUUUUUCUUUUUACGAAACCUUUUCACUAUUGAUUAUUUAACUGGGAAAAAUUGGUUUCCAGAAUGCAUACGGGUCAGUAACCAUUUCCUCACCAGAACUGGCUAGAUAUUGCACUUAUGUUGGAUAAAGCGCUUUUAUGCAAUAUAACAGUAACUAGUGAGCAUAUUUGCAGAUAAAUCCAGGUGAUCUAAAGCACAAAUCUGAGGUUGGUUAGAAAAUGAAGAACAAAAAUCAUUCAGGAUUAUAACUGAUUAACUUUCACAUUCACUUAACCAAAUCCAGGGAUAGCCGUAAGACAGACCAAUCAAUUAAAGAAAAGUGAUUCAACAUUCAAGUGAAGAGUGAAGUGGUUGUCAUUCAGUGCCUGUACAGGUAUCUUGAAGUUUACCUUCGAGAAAACUUGUGUUGCUCGUUCUAAAGCAAACAUUGCUAGCUCCCGUCCUCCCUUAGUCUCCACGAAAUCCACAUAACGCAUCCAGAACUCAGGGUAGUUGGCACAGGAUAUCAAGCACCUCUCAUAAAGUUUUAGGGCCUGUAGCAGAAUAGUUUACUAUUUUGGAGCAAAAUCAAGCAGGAAUCCCUGACAUCUUCAGAGAACAUUAAAGCAUACCCAAUCAAAAUCUUCUUGCUUUUCGAUGAAGUCGAGAUAAUCAUGCCAGUUCUUCAGCUCAUCGCUGUCAAGAGGAGUUGCCUGGAAAUAUCGCCUCUGGAUGUUUGAUUCAAAACAUCUAAUUUUGUUCUCUAGUUGGCAUGCUUCUUGGUAUAGCUGAUUUCCACCGUAUUUGUACUUAUACAGCGCUUUCAACCUGACUGAAUCAUCACUAGGAUCCUGGAUGUCCUUAACAACUUGAGCAAUUUCUCCAUUUGAUAACAGAAUUGUUGCAUCUGAAAGCUCUUUUAGUUGUACCCCGCCGCUGUCAUCACUGAGAUGUAGAAUCCCCUCUUCUAAAUUGGUUACAAACUUCUUAAAGCUGGACAUUUAAUAAGCAUAUGAACUUUCUAGUAUUCACAAUUGAAAUGCCUUGAAUUUGAAGCAGUACACAAUCCAACAGAAUGUGGCAAGAAGUGGCAAGUGAUGAAAAACCUAACGCAUUGAAUUAUUCCAUUAUAUUAAAAUAUUCUCCCUUGCCUUACCAUGAACCAGCUCAAUGACGUUAAGGCACAGUUUUUGCCUUUUUGGUAGACAUAACAACUGUUUAUCCAUUUUUCAGAAGAAAAAAAAUGUUAAUUAAUAAUAGGAGCCAUGUAAAUCUUUUACUGUCCUGCAGGGGUGUUUGAAAAGAAAUGAAUCAGAAAAUAACAGAAACAUUUUAAAACGCCUACUUAGUGUCACUGGUUGGAUAAGAAUUAGCUGAUAUGGGCAAUCUGGGUAAAAAAAUUGCCCCCUCACAUAUCUAAAUAACUUUCUUAGCCCACACGCUUUAUCAGCACAGAGCAUAUACCUUUUAAUCAUACAGAUACUUCUCUUUGGAGUAAUCCAAUCCAUUUAGCACCUGAAAUUCUAUAGUAAACAGAAGGGCAAGAGUCUUCGUCAUCGGAAGUUUAAUAUAAUCAAGUAAUAUGACCUACUUUCUGAGCAUAGAUAGUGAAGAACCUUAGCUCUCAGCAAUAGGGAUGGCAAUGGGGCGGGGCGGGUUGAAUUUUCUUUAAAGAAACUUUUGCGGGUUGCGGGAUGGGUGCGGGUCAAUUUUUUCCUACUGUACAUUUAGUUAUUCGCAUGAAUCUUGUCUUCAAGCUUUUCAAUCUGUUGCUUAUACGAUUUUUUUAAAAUAUUUACGUGGAUCAUAAUAUUGUGUUGUAUUUAAUUUCUAAAUAUCUUUAUUUUUUUCCUGCUUCAAUUUAAAUACCUUUGAUUAUUAUAUAAAGCUCGAAAUAUUCGAAAAUGACAUUAAAGAUUAGACGAACUUCACUACUCCUAUAUAUAAACUACUUUGACUUUUCUAGAAUAUUUGACCCUCUCAAACUUUAAAAAAAAAUAUUUUCCUCUGUUCUCCAUACCUUGAGACUUGAGAGUGCUUUUCAUCCAUCAUAAAAAUGCAUCUCUGAAGCUUUUCAUUUAAUGGAGAAGAUCUACGUAUAUAGGAUUACUGUUGUUGAAAAAUCUAGUUAUGUUAUUCAGUUUUGCAUUUAUUUAGUUAUGGGCAUUAAAUUCCUUUUUCUUACUCUAUUGGGAGUUUCAUUUAAUUCUUUUUUUUAUUAAUGUUCUAUAUUGGUCUUGUGGUAUAAGUAAUUAUUUCCAUUAUCUGUAAAGUCAAUUUUGAUUUAACAAUUUGAGCAUGAAUUGGUUCUUACUCAUAUAAUGCAUCCAUGUGAAUAUCACAAUUUCUUUUUCUAGUUUUCUAAUAUCACAAUAUCGGGAAUAUCACAAGAAUGGGCCUUGAGACAAUAUGAAGAUGCUCCAACUAGUGUAAUGAAAGUCUCUAAAAAUAAGACAAUUUGAAGAAAAAAACACUGGAAAACUUAGUGGGGCGGGGCGUCGAGUGUGAGUGCAGGGAGGGGGAACGUGAGUGGAAAUGCUAUGCGGUGUGGGUUGAAAUUUUACGGGUUAAGGUAGAACCCGCACCGCACCCACCCGCCCCGUUUGCCAUCCCUACUCAGCAAUAAAAGUAUCAAGUAUAGUGUCACAAUCAACACAUCAAGAGAAGUGUAGUAUAUAUAUGAUAUCAGUUUUCAGCAUUCGAACAUGACUUACCAGUAAUUUUAGGUACUCUUGUGCCACUAAAUAUGAGGUUAUGAAUUUGACCUUUUAUCUAAUUUUUUUAUCAAACACUUAAUAUUUAUUUUAUUUCAGCAGAAUAUGCAUCCAAUACUAUUUUGGUCAAACAUUGUUCUUUGAAAUUUCAUCAUUGUAGAGCAGUAGUGUUGGAGGCAAUUACCAGAAAAUAAUAAAAAUUAAUUCAAGGCGAAAUACAUAGAUGGCCCCUUUAAGUUAUCCACAACGAUCAAAUAAACACCUCAACAGACCUAUUUAUCUAGUAGACACCUCAAAUUAUUUUUUAGUGUAUCUCUUAAACCCUUCAAACUGACGUGGCAAAAUAUGUGUACUACACUCGCGUUGCAGCAAGUGAAGCCUUUAAAAAUUGUGUUUUUUUUUUAAAUUUAACUGGUGGAUCCCACUUAUCCUCACCCUUUCUUCUCCAAAAUUUUCUUCCACUGUCCACUCCACCUCAACCCACUAUUCUCAACGCCACAACUUCACCAUGAAAGAGAAGUGUGCAAAACAACAGAAAAUAAAUGAGCAUAAAAACUCUUUCUUCUGAUGUGCAAAACACCCUUGAAUCGGUAUGCUCCCUGUGUAAGUCAAGAAAACCAGUUCCGGCACAAUUUCCAGUUGAGUUUAUAUCCAUUAUGUAAAAAAGAAUACUAGAAAUUCAACAUGAAAAGGAUUUUAGUUAUGAGUCAACAACAACAUACCCAGUAUAAUCCCACAAGUGGGAUUUGGGGAGGGUAGUGUGUAUGCAGACCUUACCCCUACCUGGCAAGAUAGAGAGGCUGUUUCCGAUAGACCCUCGGCUCAAUUUUAGUUAUGAGUCAAUCAAAAUAUUAUUUUUUUGGAUUUUGAUUCUAUGAAUUUCAAUUUGCCACAGAUAGGUCCAUCUAGCUCCUAUAAGCAGACGUUAUUUUCUUAAACAAGAACCCCACUUAUACUGGGCGACCACCUCGAAUUCACCGGCCGGAUCUCCAUAUUUUUCUCAUCCUUUUUAACAUUAACACUCUUAGACAACACACCCAACUAGUAUCUUCUCGCCGUUUUCACUGACCACACUCUCAAAAAGCCCAAAAAAAAAAUUCAAGACUUUCUGUACUCACUAUUCCACUUGUGGGAUUACACUAGGUUUGUUGUUGUUGUUGUUUCUGUACUCACUAAUAGUCAAAACACCGUCCCUCUACCACCUCUCCGCCGAAUAACCACCGGACCACUAAUCUCUUCAAGUCUUCUUAUUAUGGUAGGUUAUGAAGUAGUAGGGGUUUGGGCUGAGGAAGGAGGGGAAGGCGGUCCGAUUUGGUUGAAAGAUGGUCGGUGGUGACGAAGAAGAAGAUGAUGUUUGGGGGAGAGGAGGGGGUCUGAUU